GAGGGUAUAGCUCAAGUGGUAGAGCACAUGCUUAGCAUGCAUAAGGUCCUGGGUUCAAUCCCCAGUACCUCCU
rnacentral:tRNA from 1 species